CCUCGAAUUGAGAUCCCUCUGUUAGCACAACUUUCAAAAACUGAAUCUCAUUUCCAUAUUUACCAUACUUGAGCUCAAAAAUGAUUCAGAUCCCCUGCGCCAACAAGAACGAAAACACAAAUUUAACAGGCAUAUUGUUAUGGAUCAGCCAGCCCAAGUCAGUAGGGAAAUUGAGAAUGGGCCUGAGACAAUUAGGAAAAGCCAACGAAUUAAACAGCCCAACAAAAAGCUACAAGACAAGCACGUGGGAGUAGUGUUAUAUGCAGGAGUAUGGCAGAGUAGUGGGAAACAAAGAAAUGAUAGCAACACUCUCUUAAUUCUCAUCUUAUUUCUUCUAAGGUCUCUCACCUCUUUCUAUCUUAUUGUUUAGUAUUUUUCAUACUGCAAUUGCUGCUCUUGAGAGCUGAACUAUUGAAUCUCACUACUGUAAUUGUUCUUCUUGGGUAAUCAAAUUAAGUAUUGCUACUGUUUUGUUAUUUGGGUUGAAGUUUGUUCCACAUAUACACAACAUUUGGCUUUGACAUAUAUAGUAAUUUCAUAUACAACAUAUUGUGGUACUAAUGACUCAGUACAGUAAAAAAUCAAAAGAUUUCAAUUACUAGGGAUGUAUUGUUCAGGUCAACUCAUAGUCACAUUGAUUAUUCAAUUCGUUACCUGUAAC
rnacentral:lncRNA from 1 species